GUGGAACUCGAAGGUGCAAAUGGAUUUUCUGAAGCUCUUAAAGGCGGUAAAGUGUCUUGUGAUUUUACCAAACACUCUAUAGCGAUCGGUCUUUCAUAAGCCCAGCCAGCUAAUAACGCUCUAGAAAUUGGGAGAAAAGUUAUUGACAAAAUAGUAAGAGUCAGUGAAGAGAGUGUCUCUAAGGCGAUACUGAAGAUGUUGGUGGAGGAAAAGACUGUUGUGGAGGGGGCAGGAGCAGUGGGUGUCGCGGCCGUAAUUGAGGGACUCUUGCCUGAGCUAGAAAACAAAAAGGUUGUCGUUCUACUGACAGGAGGCAACAUAGAGUUAUCUAACUUGUCAAGGAUCAUAGAAAGUGGCUAAACCAAGCUGAGUCUUAAAUGUUACCGGUGGAGGCUAGUCUCCCAUGGACGUCCGCACACGAUUGGAAAAUUGUAGUUUAGUGUUUGUUACAGAAUUAAAAACGUGCUUUUUUCUUUCAUUACAACUUGCUCAAAUAUCUAUAACGAGCCGACCCGCGGCAUAUCAUA